CAGCUACUUUCAAAGCACACAGGAUGACCGUUCCUCUUCUGCUAAGGAAGGCGUGAUUGGAUUUAGCAGAGAAUUUGAAGUGCUGAUAUGUCAAUGCAUCGGCCUACUCUUUCUCCUGCUUGGAUUUUCACACCGGCUGAACAGAGAGCUCAUAGCUGGGCGCUGCAAACAUUAUCAGGAGGGGAGAGACGCUUCCCACCGUCAGCGCCGGAGCAGAGCAGGGGAGCCCUGGCAACAAGGAGAGACACAAACUCAGCAGCCCGUUUCACCCUACAGGAAUGGUGACAACACCUGCAGACAGACAGACAGACAGACAGA